UCUUUCUAUCAAUGCUUGUAGAGCCAAAUCAAGCUAAAAAGGAAUCAUAUAUGAUUUAGGUGGAGAUGAUACCUUUCAAGUUUUCAACGGAAGUAGGGCAACGAAUUAAUGCAUCCUUUGAAUUACAGCUUUGAAUGGUAUGAAUUCCUCACGGCGGGGUUACAAAUUCAAUAAGUUUGAUAUCGUUACCCUCAUGCAAGCAUUUGUCAACUCCCAAAUCCUCCAAAUUGCAUAUGUCAACUAAAAGCUUCCUUUAUUUUCUGACACCUUCACAUUGUCUUCAGGUAACAAACUCUGAAUUUUCAUGCAUUCAAAUCAUUCACAAAAUUGAAGAAUGGUUAGAACAAGCGCUUUUUGAAGUGUUGGGAUUGAGGCUUUUUUAGGUACGACUUAUUAAUUCUAUCUUUUAAAAAAUAUUGUUGGGUCCGAUAAGUUGCGUUCGAAAUUGCACGAACUUUGUACCAUUUGAAGAAAGAAGCUGAUUGCAAGGAGCGGUUGGCCACAAUUGGUCCCCAUUUUGUGUCAUCCAAGUUGUGCCUGCCCAUCAAAAACCUCAAAUCACGGGUCACACAAAGCCAUGAACAUGUGUUUAGUAAUUAUUAAUAAUUACUUUGAAUCAAGACCAUCAGUUGGUUGGGCAGAACUGAAAAAUCCAUGAUUGAUAGCUACCAAUUAUUCACUAUAGCGCAUGUGCUUAAAAUUCUGUUUGGCUAGUAGGAAAUUGUAAGAUUGAAUGAUAGAAAAUCAUGUGGGGGUUCGAUGGCUACCUAGACAAGUAUAUAGAUACAACCACCUCAUGGGUCACGUGCCAGCCAGCCAACCGAGUUGUUGACUAGAAAUUGGUCGAGCACGUGACUCCCAGCUACCCCGUAGUUAGCUCUCCGGUAUAUAAAACCACCCUCCUCUUCUCAUUUUUUUGUCAUCCUCACCAUCGACCUCCUCUUUGUAACAGCCACUCCUCCACCUCCAACCACCACAACCCUCAUCCCUCUGAAGAUGGUGACCGUCAACGAAGUUCGCAAUGCCCAGCGCGCCGAAGGCCCAGCCACCGUGAUGGCCAUCGGCACUGCCACUCCCCCAAAUUGUGUGGAUCAAAGCACCUAUCCUGACUACUACUUUCGCAUCACAAAUAGCGAACACAAGACUGAGCUCAAAGAGAAGUUCAAGCGAAUGUGUAAGAUAUAUUAAUCUCUAUUUUAUUUCAUGUUAUUUAUUUAUUUUUGUGUCUUCUUCUUGGAUUUUAUUAUACAUACUCAUGUGACAUCUGACAAGUUGGUUAUUACCAUAUUUCCGUCUAACCACAUGAGUUCAAUUCUACCAGCCUAUGUGUAUACAAAGUAUAGUGAAUGGUUAUGAAACCAAAAUCUACGGAGGGAAAGUCAAUUUACUUGACAAAAUAUGCUAGAUUAGAUGCCCAUAUAAUAGAGCAAAAAGAUGAUUGUAUGAUGAAUUAAAUUACAGUCGCCAGAAUUGUUUGUCUAAGAUGCUGGUAUUUAUCUUCUUUUGACUGUCUUCAUGAAUUUUCCGGUCUGUCAUAUAUUUUCUUUUCUUUUAAGAUUUUAGAUUAGAUAAUUGUCAUACUGCCACUAACUACUAGGUUUAUUUUCCGUUUACUUACCAGAUUAUGUUAUUUCUUUAAGAAGUUUUCCUCACCUAGCAUGUAAAUUAAUGCUUCUGACUGGUUGGUGAGGUAAAAUAGGAGUUCUUCUUUUUCCUUUCACCCCUUGCUUAAAGUUUCCUAGAUCCAUCAAAAGAGAGAAUUCGUCACUUGUGAAGGCCAUUUUCGGCACCAAUAUUGUUUGUGGAAUAUUGAAAUGCUACAUGUAGAACACAAUCUAACAUGGAUAUUGUGAAAUACAUGGAAUCACAGGUGACAAGUCUAUGAUCAAGAAACGUUACAUGCACUUGACAGAGGAGAUCCUGAAAGAGAACCCCAAUGUUUGUGAAUACAUGGCAGCUUCCCUGGAUGCUAGGCAGGACAUGGUGGUGGUGGAGGUACCAAAGCUAGGCAAAGAGGCAGCCGCAAAGGCCAUCAAGGAGUGGGGUCAGCCCAAAUCCAAGAUCACUCACCUAGUCUUCUGCACCACCAGCGGUGUUGACAUGCCCGGUGCUGACUACCAACUCACCAAGCUGCUAGGCCUCCGCCCAUCGGUGAAGCGCUUCAUGAUGUACCAACAGGGCUGCUUUGCUGGUGGCACCGUUCUGCGCCUUGCCAAGGACCUUGCCGAGAACAACAAGGGCGCCCGUGUCCUUGUUGUCUGCUCUGAGAUCACUGCUGUUACUUUCAGGGGACCUAGUGACACUCACUUGGACAGCCUUGUUGGGCAGGCACUUUUUGGCGAUGGGGCGGCCGCUGUUAUAGUUGGUUCCGACCCGAUCCCAGGGGUGGAGAAGCCCAUGUUCGAAUUGGUUUCAGCAGCCCAGACAAUC
rnacentral:lncRNA from 1 species